rnacentral:rRNA from 1 species
UACGUAGGCAGCGAGCGUUGUUCGGAAUCACUGGGCGUAAAGGGCGCGUAGGCGGGAAUGUAAGUCGGGCGUGAAAUCCCUAGGCUCAACCUAGGAACUGCACUCGAAACUGCGUUUCUUGAGUAUCGGAGAGGAAAGCGGAAUUCCUGGUGUAGAGGUGAAAUUCGUAGAUAUCAGGAGGAACACCAGUGGCGAAGGCGGCUUUCUGGACGGUAACUGACGCUGAGGCGCGAAAGCGUGGGGAGCAAACAGG